CUCAUGAUAUGCUCCUUACACAGCCAAACUAAUCAAAGAGGGAGAAACCCAUAUCGUCGUCGCUCUCCUCUUUCUCUUCUUUCUUCUCCUCAGCGGGAGGUGCCUCGGGAGCAGCAGCACCGCCACCAGCCGCAGCACCAACUGAGGGGGCACCACCUCCGAUGAACGCCCCACCACCACCACCUCCGCCAAUUAUUACCUGUACCAGGUAAAACAUGACUUCUUUAAUAUUAGGCCAUCGCCACAGUACAUCGAUAUGGUAAAAAAGACCCAACCGCUGACAACUAGCAUUCAAGAAAUAUUAGCGUUACUCUCCAAGGAGCCACAAACGUGAAGAUAAACAAAGGUGUGUAUCCACACCGACAUCAAGCUUUAAUGUUGCUAACAUGAUUAGCAUACACUGAUACACAUACAAGAACAAGGUACGAGAAAAAGAUUAACCAGGUUGCAAGACAUUAAUAAUGCAUUGAAUGAUAUUACUACUUUAGAAAUAUAUUAUUGCCACAUUUCUUACUUUGAGACCUCCGAUCGAUAGUUGGAUACCACAGUCCAUGACAUGAAGCAUAUGUAGGAAUGCCGUAACUAGCUACUAAAAUUAUCAAAACAACAUUCAAAAAAGAGAAGACCCAAGAGUAGUCGCUAUCUUUUCCAUUACAACAUAAAAUGAUCCACAAAACACUGAAUGAACAAUGUGCAAAAAACAUAGAUAUUUGGACAAAGAAUGCUAAACCAACUUUUAGACCUUUCAGACAAUGUUCCAUUAAGAAGGAUGUGGUAUGGACAACAUCUGAAGCAAUUUUGAAGUGGUAAGACAGAAGGAUACAUGUCAAAUCAUCAAUGAUAAUAGAAACAUAUUUUUUACAAAAAUAAUUAAAACUACCAAUUGGAGUCUCAUACAUGAUUAUGCAGAUCAAAUAUGCACCUAUUAUAUAUUUCACAUAUUCAGAAACACCACACAUUAACUGCAUCCAUGUAUGCAAUUGCAUAAUGUUGCUUUCAGGAGCCAUCAAUUCGAGGCAUCUCCUGUAUCAGCAUUACAUGGAGCAAACUUCCCACAUGAAAAAAACUACAUCAAACAUCAACUCUCUUUAACUUUGACAAAAUCUCAAAACUGUGAAAGAAGUAUAAAACCAAGAAAAAGACACAUUUACUACACCAUUACAUGACAGAAGAACUGAUCAACUUUAUGCUCCUAAUGAUAAUCUCCAUCCCGUUAUCAAAAUGGCUAAUAGCACAUAAAGCAAAAAAUUGAUGAAUGAUUGGAAAUCAAAUGACACCAAUUAAUGGCAAUUCAAAACAAAUAUCUACAUCAAACAACACCGAGUUAGACAAAAUAAAUAAGGCAUCUCACUACUUAGGAAGACAGACCAAGUGGCAUCAAGUCCAUUACUAGUUGGAAUGCCUGUACCGAAGGAGACUAAGUAAAUUUACUCCUACAGCCGACCACCAGAUCCACACUCUUGACUACCAAGAAAUACAAUCGAAGUAAUAGCUCAUGAAGCGCAUCGCUAAGAAAAUCUCCAACCGCAAAACAUGGAUCCUUGCGUUCCUACUCCGUCGUAGCUUACCACCUUGGCGCAUAGAUGCAAGCACAAGCACACCUUAACUAUAAGAGAACAUGUCUAUUUAGAACCACAAUCAAAUCAGCCAAAGGAAGUCACUUGAAGAUCGAAUCUGAGUUCUUUGCUGAUACUGUUGAUGAUUUUCUUGACUGGUAUGGUUGAUUGUAGUUUGAUUAUAAUUAACCAUCAAGACAAUAUUUACCAUCCACUAGUAGCAAUUAAUAUAGGAUUCAUGCCUAUUCUGAUCUCUAUUAUAAUGACUGUAUUUUUACUAAUAAUUACAAAGAAAAAGGAGACAGAAAGCCAUAAUGGUGAAACUCCAACGAAGUCAGGAGGCCAAAGAUAAGUCCAAAUCAACAGCAAGAUUUAGCGGAGGAUCUCAAACCUGGAACACAGCAGAUGUAGGGGAGACCAUGGAGAAGGAGGAUUGAACCCCGCCGGACGAGUCGACGGCCAGCGCGGCUUGCACGAGCUGCCUCUGGAGGGCGAAGGUCGAAGCGGCCGAACCCUCGAGGUCACCGGAGAGCUGCUUCGCGCUCCACUCCCCACCGGAGCUACGGCACACGAAGGU
rnacentral:lncRNA from 1 species